GUCAGUUUAUACAUUCAUCUGAUCACUAGAGGGAGUGAAGAAUCACUUCAGUUCAUUCAAACUGUGCUGUGAAACAAACCAUGAUCUCUUCAUCUUUACUGUUGCUUCUGGCAGUGAUAUCCUGUAUUGAUUCAUAUGAACUCACUCAGCCUGAGUCUCUGACUGUCCGUCCUGAUGCCACUCUCACUAUCAACUGUAAAGUCUCAUAUUCAGUUACAAGUGAGCAUACAGCCUGGAUUCGUCAGCCUGCAGGAAAAGCUCUGGAGUGGAUUGGAUUAAUUGAAAGUGAUGGAGACUUAUUCUACAAGGAUUCUCUGAGAAACAAGUUCAGUAUCACCAGAGACACUUCCAGUAACACAAUAACACUGCAAGGAAAGAAUAUGAAAGCUGAAGACACAGCUGUGUAUUAUUGUGCCAAACACAGUGACAGACACCGACAGACUCCCUCUCCUCGACGACGCAGCCCAGCUGCAAAGGACCCUGUGAAGACCCAUCUGACCCAGCUGCCCGGUCCAUGCUCUAAGGACCCCUUUGGCACAACAGAAGUUCAGCAAUCUCCAGGUCAGCGCAUCGACGGCUACCGGAACGCAUCUCUGUGCCCUCCCCACUGUACGCAAUCUGCAUCACCAGUGGAAGACGUCUCUGCCGCCGGACUGAUCACCCGACCACGUGGAACGUAA